CGUGUGGUAAAUUCCAGUCAUUUCCAUAUUUCUUACAGCUACACAGUGUCACAGUUGCUACUUUCUAGAUAUAUACAGGGUGUAUAAAAAAAAACUUAACAGAUUUGAAAUUGCUCUCAAUUUCUCUGCAAUCUCCUACUUUUACAUCUACAACUCACAACAGUCCAUCACCACCGGGAUGUACACCAACGAUUCUCCCAACUUUCCAGUUUCUUCUAGGAGUGUCUGGAUCGACUAUCAACACAAUGUCUCCUUCCUUUAAGUUCUCUUCUCGAUCAAACCAUUUCUUACGUGAUCCAAUACUCGUAAUAUACUCUCGCAUCCACCUCUUCCAUGUUUGA